GCAGUGGUUGCUGGGCGACCACGGAGAGAAAGCCGGGACUUGAGGUGGUCUCCUAGCAGGAGGAGCGAGAGAGCCCAGCAGCGAUACGGUGGUUUUCGACCCAGCUAGGGGCCAGGCCGUACGAUUGGGAGCCCGGGGCAGCCCCCCGCGCAGUCACCACGACGCGGCACCCGUGGACGGGCGUUGGCUCUGCGUGGUGGGCGGCUGGGACGGGUCUCGCCGCUUGGCCACAGUGACCGCACUGGACACAGAGCGCGGUGUGUGGGAGGCGUGGACAGGGACCCCUGGUGACUGCCCCCCCGCCGGCCUCAGUAGUCACACCUGCACCCGAAUCUCUGACCGAGAGCUGCAGGUGGCUGGCCGGGAGGGCGGUAUCCACACUCAGCGACGCUAUGGAAGCAUCUACACAUUAAGGCUGGACCCCAGCGCCCGCACCUAUUGCUACAAGCAAGAAGGCUGCCACACAGCCUCACGCUCAGGUCACUGUGCGGCCCUGCUCCAAACUCCUGGACCCCAUCCAGGUCAUCAGCUAUUGCUCUUUGGAGGUUGCAACUUAGCUGAACCAGAAGUAGCUGGGCAUUGGAGUCAUGGGAAAAUUAAGUCCUUUCUUUCUCCCCAAGGAGGAACCACCUGUUGCUCCUCAUUUGAUGGAACAGCUUGCAAGGCUUGUGAGCAGUGGGCAGGGGUCCCAGAAGGGGCCCCAUGGACUACGGCAUCACUCAUGUUCUGUGGUCGGGCCCUUUGCUGUGCUGUUUGGUGGAGAAACUCUGACCAGAGCUAGAGACACCAUCUGCAAUGAUCUCUACAUCUAUGAUACUCGCACAUCUCCUCCUUUGUGGUUCCACUUCCCCUGUGCAGAUCGUGGGAUGAAACGCAUGGGCCAUCGCACCUGCCUUUGGAAUGAUCAGCUUUACCUGGUUGGGGGUUUUGGUGAGGAUGGCAGGACAGCCAGUCCACAGGUUUGCAUCCUGGACUUUAUCUAAAUAGUGCCAAGACACAUCACUAAGCCUCGUUUUGUUUUGCUUUGUUGCAAACCUAUAAAGCGUUAUCACCAGAGCUAUCUGCUUCACUUCAAAUGCUUAUUAAAUUUCAAUCUGAGACUCAAGA
rnacentral:lncRNA from 1 species